rnacentral:rRNA from 1 species
UACAGAGGUCCCAAGCGUUGUUCGGAUUCAUUGGGCGUAAAGGGCGUGUAGGCGGUUUGUCAAGUCGGGUGUGAAAGCCUGGGGCUCAGCCCCAGAAGUGCAUCCGAAACUAGCGAGCUAGAGCGCGAUAGAGGAGGGUGGAAUUCCUGGUGUAGCGGUGAAAUGCGGAGAUAUCAGGAGGAACACCGGCGGCGAAGGCGGCCCUCUGGAGCGUUGCUGACGCUGAGACGCGAAAGCGUGGGGAGCAAACAGG